rnacentral:rRNA from 1 species
UUGGGCGAGGAUGGUUUGAGGAGACAUAUGUUGAAUUGAAUCGUUCGAGCAGCGGACGGGUGAGUAAAGCACAAGGACUUGUCCGAAAGAGAGGGACACCUGCGGGAAACCGGAGCUAAUACCUCAUAAGCCGGAAGGUGAAAAGCAGAGAUGCGCUUUUGGAGAGACUUGUGUCCUAUCAGGCAGUUGGUGAGGUGAAAGUUCACCAAACCGAAGACGGGUAGCCGGACUGAGAGGUCGACCGGCCACAUUGGAACUGAGAGACGGUCCAGACUCCUACGGGAGGCAGCAGUGGGGAAUAUUGGGCAAUGGGCGGAAGCCUGACCCAGCGACGCCGCGUGAGGGAAGACAGCCUUCGGGUUGUAAACCUCUGUUGCAGGGGAAGAAGGAAGUGACGGUACCCUGCGAGGAAGCUCCGGCUAACUACGUGCCAGCAGCCGCGGUAAUACGUAGGGAGCGAGCGUUGUCCGGAAUUACUGGGCGUAAAGGGCGCGUAGGCGGCGCUUCAAGUCGUCUGUCAAAUGGAAGGGCUUAACCCUUUUUCGCAGACGAAACUGGAGAGCUUGAGAAGCAGAGAGGCAAACAGAAUUCCUGGUGUAGCGGUGAAAUGCGUAGAUAUCAGGAAGAAUACCAGUGGCGAAGGCGGUUUGCUGGCUGCAUACUGACGCUGAAGCGCGAAAGCCAGGGGAGCGAACGGGAUUAGAUACCCCGGUAGUCCUGGCAGUAAACGAUGUAUGCUGGGUGUGAGACUAGCGAUAGUUUCGUGCCGA